rnacentral:rRNA from 1 species
UACGUAGGGGCCUAGCGUUGUCCGGAUUUAUUGGGCGUAAAGAGCUCGUAGGCGGUUCGGUAAGUCAGGUGUGAAAUCUCCACGCUCAACGUGGAGGGGCCACCUGAUACUGCCGUGACUCGAGUCCGGUAGGGGAGUGUGGAAUUCCCGGUGUAGCGGUGAAAUGCGCAGAUAUCGGGAGGAACACCGGUGGCGAAGGCGGUGAUCUGGGCCGGUACUGAUGCUGAGGAGCGAAAGCGUGGGGAGCGAACAGG